CCGUUUAUAUAUGUAUUCAUGUCAGUCGAACUUGGUCGGGUUUAUAAAGGCAGUUGGCCAAUGUUGAAAUAAAAGGUUUAAAACUUUAAUAAUAUGCAUAUAAAAAUUUAUUGGGCGUAUUUGGUUAGUCUAGGUAUGUUGAAUAUAUUGCGUAUUCUGAAAGAGUGCACAUUAAAAUGAAGAACUUGGAUUGUGGGAGAACAACGUUAAAAAAAUAUAUAUUUAGCUUUUUUAUGUCUCUGUUGUGUUCUACAUAGCUUGAGAAGCUGUGUUUUGAAACUCUUUAAAGACUAUUUGUUUUAUAACAUCACAAUGGUGAUUUGAGCUCUGUUACACAGAUGUGUCUACUGGUAAAAGAACAUGACCGCAAAGCUUCCAUGCUGAGGGAACAUGAAAUCAGAGAAGCUUGAUGUCUAGUCUAUAUAUCACUGUUGAAACUCUAAUUCUACAUUCUAAUAAGGGAAAAGGACAAGUAACAUACGUGGUUCUCUGAUAAUUUUAUAUUAAGAAACAUACAACAAUCUGAUGUAAACUAAAAGCACCUGCUAAACAUAAAAAAUAUUAAAGUGUGCUUGUGAUAAACAAAUAUUUUUAGAUGCCAUGUUUGAUGAAAGGAUAUUAGAAUAUUUAUUCAAGUGGUACUUUUGCAUAUAAAAUUUUAUUGAGGGUUAUGUAUGUUCAGAUGUUCUCCAACUGUUUUCCUUUAUAGUAAUGGGGUGAGUCACCCAGUAAGGUAGAAAACCAAAAAGAGAUUUAGCUUUUUUCAAAACAUGUGGGCAAAACCUGAGUCAAGUCAGUUUAGCAUUCGCUAUUCUGCUGUGUAGUAUCUUGGUCCAAAUUACAUAAAAAGCUAAACUUCAAGAGUCAAACCAAUCUAUAAAGAAACCAUAAUCACAUAUGGAUUAUGAAGACAUACAAGUAUAGCAAAGGGUUGGGUAACAUCUUUUAAACGUCAAUGUUGUAACGAC